AUGGUGGUCCGCACAGUCAAGACUUUAGCUGUCCAACUGAGAGUACUAAGUCUGGAUACGGUUAUUCAGCUGAUGACAUGCUUUCCCUGCUUGGAGAAGCUGUACAUUCAGAUUGCGGAACGUGUGCCAAAGCCAAACUAUUUGUGGCGUCGCAAACAUCGGGAUCUGACCAGAUGUCCUAAUAUCCAUCUGAAGACAAUAGUGUUGGAUUCCUACCGUGGCAUCAAGUCUGAAGUUAACUUUGUGACAUUCUUUGUAUUGAAUGCGAGAGUGCUAGAGCUGGUGAAGCUUCGGGUUUGCUCCUACAAUAAGGAAUUCUUGGCAGAGCAACAUAUGAAGCUUCAGCUGGACGAAAGGGCUUCAAAAGCGGCUCGGAUUCAUUUUACAACUCGUAAUUGUGUCCGUUAUUUCCUGGAUCAUGUCCGUGAUUUGGAUUUAGUUGAUCCAUUCUUAGUGUAG
rnacentral:rRNA from 1 species